GACGAACGCUGGCGGCGUGCUUAACACAUGCAAGUCGAACGGAAAGGCCCUGCUUUUGUGGGGUGCUCGAGUGGCGAACGGGUGAGUAACACGUGAGUAACCUGCCCUUGACUUUGGGAUAACUUCAGGAAACUGGGGCUAAUACCGGAUAGGAGCUCCUGCUGCAUGGUGGGGGUUGGAAAGUUUCGGCGGUUGGGGAUGGACUCGCGGCUUAUCAGCUUGUUGGUGGAGUAGUGGCUUACCAAGGCUUUGACGGAUAGCCGGCCUGAGAGGGUGACCGGCCACAUGAGGACUAAGGGACGGCGCAGACUCCUACGGGAGGCAGCAGUGGGGAGUAUUGCACAAUGGGCGGAAGCCUGAUACAGCAACGCCGCGUGCGGGAUGACGGCCUUCGGGUUGUAAACCGCUUUCGCCUGUGACAAAGCGUGAGUGACGGUAAUGAGUAAAGAAGCACCGGCUAACUACGUG
rnacentral:rRNA from 1 species